rnacentral:rRNA from 1 species
UAAUACGGAGGGUGCAAGCGUUAUCCGGAAUCACUGGGUUUAAAGGGUGCGUAGGCGGCUUGGUAAGUCAGGGGUGAAAGCUUCCCGCUCAACGGGAGAACUGCCCUUGAUACUGCCAGGCUCGAAUUGGGUUGAGGCAGGCGGAAUGUGGCAUGUAGCGGUGAAAUGCUUAGAUAUGCCAUAGAACACCGAUUGCGAAGGCAGCCUGCCAAGCCUUGAUUGACGCUGAGGCACGAAAGCGUGGGGAGCGAACAGGAUUAGAUACCCUGGUAGUCCACGCCCUAAACGAUGUUUACUCGACGUCCGGCCCCUGCGGCCGUGCGUCCAAGCGAAAGCGUUAAGUAAACCACCUGGGGAGUACGUUCGCAAGAAUG